AACGAACGCUGGCGGCAGGCUUAACACAUGCAAGUCGAGCGCCCCGCAAGGGGAGCGGCAGACGGGUGAGUAACGCGUGGGAAUCUACCCAUCUCUACGGAAUAACGCAUGGAAACGUGUGCUAAUACCGGAUACGUCCUUCGGGAGAAAGAUUUAUCGGAGAUGGAUGAGCCCGCGUUGGAUUAGCUAGUUGGUGGGGUAAAGGCCUACCAAGGCGACGAUCCAUAGCUGGUCUGAGAGGAUGAUCAGCCACACUGGGACUGAGACACGGCCCAGACUCCUACGGGAGGCAGCAGUGGGGAAUAUUGGACAAUGGGCGCAAGCCUGAUCCAGCCAUGCCGCGUGAGUGAUGAAGGCCCUAGGGUUGUAAAGCUCUUUCACCGGUGAAGAUAAUGACGGUGACCGGAGAAGAAGCCCCGGCUAACUUCGUGCCAGCCGCCGCCGUAAGAC
rnacentral:rRNA from 1 species